rnacentral:lncRNA from 1 species
CCUGCAAUUCUUUGUCCAUAUUCAUCCCGAGCUUCUGAAGCUCCUCUAUGUCCUUGAUCAUUGUCAAACGAUGAUCAUUGAUGGCCUACCCAUCAUGCAUUUUCGCUCUAAAAAAUCUCUUGAAGACCUCAAAAUGAGCCGUGUGACUCUGUUCACCAUACAACUCUUGCAAGUGAACCAGCAUCUCCCUGACAGUCCUCAU